CCUCAAACGAUGGAAUAAUUAUGGCGUUGUAAGGAUAAAUCUUUUUAAGGGUUUGCAAGCCAAGGGUUUAUUUGAUGAGACUGAUCCACUACAGCUGAAAUGUUUGCGUUUGGCAUUCAUGGACGUACUUCAGAAAGAGUUAGACGAAAUUGUUGUAGAUUGGACUAUGUUAGGAAACAGAGACAUCUUACGUCUCCUUGUGGAAUCCCUGAGAAGCUAUUCAACCUACCUGAACUAUAUGGAGCAAGAAACCAGCUCAAACUUGUACGGGUACACGAAGCGCGCUACAUACGUGACAAAUACACUGAAGAGCCUCCUACACCUGCUGAUGGGGAUUUUCUACGACAGGCUAGAUGUGUGAUACACCAGUAUAAUAUGCCUACAAAUGUAAAAGAAGCAAUCAAGUUUUAUAUUAAUUUGUGGACAAUUUUAGAAAAUGAGUAAUAUUUUUAGCUAUGUAAACCAAUGCAUGACAUGAAAAGUGAUUAAUGGUCAAUGUCAUUAAAGUA